rnacentral:tRNA from 1 species
GCAGUCGUGGCCGAGUGGCUAAGGCGAUGGACUAGAAAUCCAUUGGGGUCUUCCCGCACAGGUUCGAAUCCUGUCGACUGCG